rnacentral:rRNA from 1 species
GAUGAACGCUGGCGGCGUGCUUAACACAUGCAAGUCGAACGAGAAGUGGAGACGGAAACCUUCGGGCGGAAGACUUUAUUUCGAGUGGCGGACGGGUGAGUAACGCGUGGGUAACCUGCCUCAUACAGGGGGAUAACAGUUGGAAACGACUGUUAAUACCGCAUAAGACCACAGCACCGCAUGGUGCGGGGUAAAAACUCCGGUGGUAUGAGAUGGACCCGCGUUCGAUUAGCCAGUUGGCGGGGUAACGGCCCACCAAAGCGACGAUCGAUAGCCGAUCUGAGAGGAUGACCGGCCACAUUGGGACUGAGACACGGCCCAAACUCCUACGGGAGGCAGCAGUGGGGAAUAUUGCACAAUGGGGGAAACCCUGAUGCAGCGACGCCGCGUGAGUGAAGAAGUAUUUCGGUAUGUAAAGCUCUAUCAGCAGGGAAGAAAAUGACGGUACCUGAGUAAGAAGCCCCGGCUAACUACGUG